CAGGCCUAACACAUGCAAGUCGAGCGGACUUAUCCUUCGGGAUAGGUUAGCGGCGGACGGGUGAGUAACACGUAGGCAACCUGCCUGUAAGACCGGGAUAACUACCGGAAACGGUAGCUAAGACCGGAUAGCUGGUUUCUCCGCAUGGGGGAAUCAUGAAACACGGGGCAACCUGUGGCUUACGGAUGGGCCUGCGGCGCAUUAGCUAGUUGGUGGGGUAACGGCCCACCAAGGCGACGAUGCGUAGCCGACCUGAGAGGGUGAUCGGCCACACUGGGACUGAGACACGGCCCAGACUCCUACGGGAGGCAGCAGUAGGGAAUCUUCCGCAAUGGGCGCAAGCCUGACGGAGCAACGCCGCGUGAGUGAUGAAGGUUUUCGGAUCGUAAAGCUCUGUUGCCAAGGAAGAACGCCUCGGAGAGUAACUGCUCUGAGGGUGACGGUACUUGAGAAGAAAGCCCCGGCUAACUACGUGCCAGCAGCCGCGGUAAUACGUAGGGGGCAAGCGUUGUCCGGAAUUAUUGGGCGUAAAGCGCGCGCAGGCGGUCUUUUAAGUUUGGUGUUUAAGCCCGGGGCUCAACCCCGGUUCGCACUGAAAACUGGGAGACUUGAGUGCAGGAGAGGAAAGCGGAAUUCCACGUGUAGCGGUGAAAUGCGUAGAGAUGUGGAGGAACACCAGUGGCGAAGGCGGCUUUCUGGACUGUAACUGACGCUGAGGCGCGAAAGCGUGGGGAGCAAACAGGAUUAGAU
rnacentral:rRNA from 1 species